UACGUAGGGUGCAAGCGUUAAUCGGAAUUACUGGGCGUAAAGCGUACGCAGGCGGCUUGGUAAGACAGGUGUGAAAUCCCCGGGCUCAACCUGGGAACUGCAUUUGUGACUGCCUAGCUCGAGUCUGUCAGAGGGGGGUGGAAUUCCACGUGUAGCAGUGAAAUGCGUAGAGAUGUGGAGGAACACCGAUGGCGAAGGCAGCCCCCUGGGAUGAGACUGACGCUCAUGUACGAAAGCGUGGGGAGCAAACAGG
rnacentral:rRNA from 1 species